UACGGAGGAUGCGAGCGUUAUCCGGAUUUAUUGGGUUUAAAGGGUGCGCAGGCGGAUUUUUAAGUCAGCGGUCAAAUCGUGGGGCUCAACCCCAUCCAGCCGUUGAAACUGGGGAUCUAGAGUGUGCGAGAGGUAUGCGGAAUGCGUGGUGUAGCGGUGAAAUGCAUAGAUAUCACGCAGAACCCCGAUUGCGGAGGCAGCAUACCGGUGCACAACUGACGCUCAGGCACGAAAGCGUGGGUACCGAACAGG
rnacentral:rRNA from 1 species